AAAAAAAAAAAAAAAAAAAAAAAAAAAGAUAAAAAAUAAUAAAAAAACCUUUCACUCCGUCCCUCCCCUCUUCCCCCCUCUUUCCCUCUCUAUUCUGCUGCCCUGUUUCUCCU
rnacentral:ribozyme from 18 species